rnacentral:rRNA from 1 species
UACGUAGGGUGCAAGCGUUGUCCGGAAUUACUGGGCGUAAAGCGCACGUAGGCGGCUUCUUAAGUCGGUGGUGAAAUCCUGGAGCUCAACUCCAGAACUGCCUUCGAUACUGGGAGCUCGAGUCCGGGAGAGGUGAGUGGAACUGCGAGUGUAGAGGUGAAAUUCGUAGAUAUUCGCAAGAACACCAGUGGCGAAGGCGGCUCACUGGCCCGAUACUGACGCUGAGGCACGAAAGCGUGGGGAGCAAACGGGG